UGGGGAAUAUUGCACAAUGGGCGAAAGCCUGAUGCAGCGACGCCGCGUGAGGGAUGACGGCCUUCGGGUUGUAAACCUCUUUCAGUAGGGACGAAGCGCAAGUGACGGUACCUGCAGAAGAAGCACCGGCUAACUACGUGCCAGCAGCCGCGGUAAUACGUAGGGUGCGAGCGUUGUCCGGAAUUACUGGGCGUAAAGAGCUCGUAGGCGGUUUGUCACGUCGUCUGUGAAAUCCUAGGGCUUAACCCUGGACGUGCAGGCGAUACGGGCUGACUUGAGUACUACAGGGGAGACUGGAAUUUCUGGUGUAGCGGUGGAAUGCACAGAUAGCAGGAAGAACACCGAUGGCGAAGGCAGGUCUCUGGGUAGUAACUGACGCUGAGGAGCGAAAGCAUGGGUAGCGAACAGG
rnacentral:rRNA from 1 species